AAUGAACGCUGGCGGCGGGCCUAAUACAUGCAAGUCGAACGGACGCACAGUAAGAUCGCUCUCUUACGGGUGGCGUGUGACGGACGGGUGAGGAAUACAUCGGAAUCUACUUUGUCGUGGGGGAGAACGUAGGGAAAGUUAACCUAAUACCGCAUACCAUCUACGUGAUAAUGCAGUGGAUCUUCAGACAUUGCGCGAUUGACAGAUCUGAUGGCGGAUUAGCUAGUUGGUGGGGUAAAGGCCCACCAAGGCGACGAUCCGUAGCUGGCCUGAGAGGAUGAUCAGCCACACUGGAACUGAGACACGGUCCAGACUCCUACGGGAGGCAGCAGUGGGGAAUAUUGGACAAUGGGCGAAAGCCUGACGCAGCAACACCGCGUGGGUGAAGAAGGCCUUCGGGUGGUAAAGCCCUUUUGUUGGGAAAGAAAAGAAGCAGAUUAAAACCUGCCCGUUCUGACGGUACCUAAACAGAAAGCAACGGCUAACUUCGUG
rnacentral:rRNA from 1 species